GACGAACGCUGGCGGCGUGCUUAACACAUGCAAGUCGAACGGAAAGGCCCUGCUUGCAGGGUACUCGAGUGGCGAACGGGUGAGUAACACGUGGGUGAUCUGCCCUGCACUUCGGGAUAAGCCUGGGAAACUGGGUCUAAUACCGGAUAGGAGCCAUUUUUAGUGUGAUGGUUGGAAAGUUUUUUCGGUGUAGGAUGAGCUCGCGGCCUAUCAGCUUGUUGGUGGGGUAAUGGCCUACCAAGGCGGCGACGGGUAGCCGGCCUGAGAGGGUGGACGGCCACAUUGGGACUGAGAUACGGCCCAGACUCCUACGGGAGGCAGCAGUGGGGAAUAUUGCACGAUGGGCGCAAGCCUGAUGCAGCGACGCCGCGUGGGGGAGGACGGCCUUCGGGUUGGAAACUCCUUUCGCUAGGGACGAAGCUUUUUGUGACGGUACCUAGAUAAGAAGCACCGGCUAACUACGUG
rnacentral:rRNA from 1 species